UACGAAGGGUGCAAGCGUUACUCGGAAUUACUGGGCGUAAAGGGUGCGUAGGUGGUUGUUUAAGUCUGUUGUGAAAGCCCCGGGCUCAACCUGGGAAUGGCAAUGGAUACUGGACAGCUAGAGUGCGGUAGAGGGUAGUGGAAUUCCCGGUGUAGCAGUGAAGUGCGUAGAGAUCGGGAGGAACACCAGUGGCGAAGGCGGCUACCUGGACCAGCACUGACACUGAAGCACGAAAGCGUGGGGAGCAAACAGG
rnacentral:rRNA from 1 species